GACAGAGGGUGCGAACGUUGUUCGGAAUUACUGGGCGUAAAGCGCAUGUAGGCGGCAGCGCAAGUCGGGCGUGAAAUCCCACGGCUCAACCGUGGAAGUGCACUCGAAACUGCGCAGCUAGAGUCCUGGAGAGGAAGGUGGAAUGCUUGGUGUAGAGGUGAAAUUCGUAGAUAUCAAGCGGAACACCGGUGGCGAAGGCGGCCUUCUGGGACAGUGACUGACGCUGAGAUGCGAAAGCGUGGGGAGCAAACAGGG
rnacentral:rRNA from 1 species